UCCUCGGUAGUAUAUUGGUUAGUAUCCCCGCCAGUCACGUGGGAAACACUGGUUCGAUUCAACGCCGGGAG